rnacentral:pre_miRNA from 1 species
AGUGAAAUUGCUGGGUCACAUGGUAACUCUUAUUUAAAUUUUUGAGGAACUACCGAAAUGUUUUCCAGAGUGAGUAUACCAUUUAAUAAUCCCACCAGCAAU